rnacentral:rRNA from 1 species
UACGUAGGGUGCGAGCGUUGUCCGGAAUUAUUGGGCGUAAAGGGCUCGUAGGCGGUCUGUCACGUCGGGAGUGAAAACUCGGGGCUUAACUCCGAGCCUGCUUCUGAUACGGGCAGACUAGAGGUAUGCAGGGGAGAAUGGAAUUCCUGGUGUAGCGGUGAAAUGCGCAGAUAUCAGGAGGAACACCGGUGGCGAAGGCGGGUCUCUGGGCCGAUAUUGACGCUGAGGAGCGAAAGCGUGGGGAGCGAACAGG